GCGGCCGUAGUCUAGCCUGGACUAGGACGCCGGCCUGCAACGCCGGAGGACCCGGGUUCGAAUCCCGGCGGCCGCACCA
rnacentral:tRNA from 1 species